rnacentral:rRNA from 1 species
AACGAACGCUGGCGGCAGGCCUAACACAUGCAAGUCGAGCGCCCCGCAAGGGGAGCGGCGGACGGGUGAGUAACGCGUGGGAACGUACCCCUUUCUACGGAAUAGCCUCGGGAAACUGGGAGUAAUACCGUAUAAGCCCUACGGGGGAAAGAUUUAUCGGGAAGGGAUCGGCCCGCGUUGGAUUAGGUAGUUGGUGGGGUAAUGGCCUACCAAGCCGACGAUCCAUAGCUGGUUUGAGAGGAUGAUCAGCCACACUGGGACUGAGACACGGCCCAGACUCCUACGGGAGGCAGCAGUGGGGAAUCUUAGACAAUGGGCGCAAGCCUGAUCUAGCCAUGCCGCGUGAGCGAUGAAGGCCUUAGGGUUGUAAAGCUCUUUCAGUGGGGAAGAUAAUGACUGUACCCACAGAAGAAGCCCCGGCUAACUACGUG